rnacentral:rRNA from 1 species
GGUGCCUUCGGGAACUCUGACACAGGUGGCUGCAUGGCUGUCGUCAGCUCGUGUCGUGAGAUGUUGGGUUAAGUCCCGCAACGAGCGCAACCCUUGCCUUUAGUUGCCAGCAGUUCGGCUGGGCACUCUAAAGGGACUGCCGGUGUUAAACCGGAGGAAGGUGGGGAUGACGUCAAGUCCUCAUGGCCUUAUGACCAGGGCUACACACGUACUACAAUGGCCGAUACAAAGGGCAGCGACACUGCGAGGUGAAGCCAAUCCCGUAAAAUCGGUCUCAGUCCGGAUUGGAGUCUGCAACUCGACUCCAUGAAGUUGGAAUCGCUAGUAAUCGUGGAUCAGCAUGCCACGGUGAAUACGUUCCCGGGCCUU